GCCGAGGUGAUGGAACUGGCAGACAUUACGGCCUUAGAAGCCGUUGGGAGUAAUCCCGUGUGGGUUCAAAUCCCACCCUCGGCACCA
rnacentral:tRNA from 2 species